rnacentral:rRNA from 1 species
CCUACGGGUGGCAGCAGUGGGGAAUAUUGGACAAUGGGCGAAAGCCUGAUCCAGCCAUGCCGCGUGUGUGAAGAAGGCCUUCGGGUUGUAAAGCACUUUCAGUGGGGAAGAAAGCCUUGGGGCUAAUACCCUCGAGGAAGGACAUCACCCACAGAAGAAGCACCGGCUAACUCCGUGCCAGCAGCCGCGGUAAUACGGAGGGUGCGAGCGUUAAUCGGAAUUACUGGGCGUAAAGCGCGCGUAGGCGGUCUGAUAAGCCGGUUGUGAAAGCCCCGGGCUCAACCUGGGAACGGCAUCCGGAACUGUCAGGAUAGAGUGCAGGAGAGGAAGGUAGAAUUCCCGGUGUAGCGGUGAAAUGCGUAGAGAUCGGGAGGAAUACCAGUGGCGAAGGCGGCCUUCUGGACUGACACUGACGCUGAGGUGCGAAAGCGUGGGUAGCAAACAGGAUUAGAUACCCGAGUAGUC